GACGAACGCUGGCGGCGUGCUUAACACAUGCAAGUCGAGCGGUAAGGCCCUUUCGGGGGUACGACGAGCGGCGAACGGGUGAGUAACACGUGGGUGACCUGCCCUCAGCUCUGGGAUAAGCCUGGGAAACUGGGUCUAAUACUGGAUAUGACUCCACGGUGCAUGUCGUGGGGUGGAAAGCCUUGUGCGGCUGAGGAUGGGCCCGCGGCCUAUCAGCUUGUUGGUGGGGUGANGGCCUGCCAAGGCGACGACGGGUAGCCGGCCUGAGAGGGCGACCGGCCACACUGGGACUGAGACACGGCCCAGACUCCUACGGGAGGCAGCAGUGGGGAAUCUUGCGCAAUGGGCGAAAGCCUGACGCAGCGACGCCGCGUGAGGGAUGACGGCCU
rnacentral:rRNA from 1 species